rnacentral:rRNA from 1 species
GAUGAACGCUAGCGGCAGGCCUAAUACAUGCAAGUCGAACGGUGUCUUCGGACAUAGUGGCGCACGGGUGCGUAACACGUAUGUAACCUACCUUACAUUGGGGGAUAGCCUUUCGAAAGGGAGAUUAAUACCGCAUAAGACAGUAGCUGGGCAUCCAGCAGCUGUUAAAGAUUUAUCGAUGUAAGCUGGGCAUGCGUCCAAUUAGCUAGUUGGUGAGGUAACGGCUCACCAAGGCAAUGAUUGGUAGGGGAACUGAGAGGUCAAUCCCCCACACUGGCACUGAGAUACGGGCCAGACUCCUACGGGAGGCAGCAGUAGGGAAUAUUGGGCAAUGUACGCAAGUCUGACCCAGCCAUGCCGCGUGCAGGAUGAAGGCGUUAUGCGUUGUAAACUGCUUUUAUACAGGAAGAAACGACUCUUGCGAGAGGCAUUGACGGUACUGUAUGAAUAAGCACCGGCUAACUCCGUGCCAGCAGCCGCCGCGGUAA